rnacentral:misc_RNA from 1 species
CGCACAUUGCGCCCUUUGGUAUUCCGAAGGGCAUGCCUGUUCGAGCGUCAUUAUCCACCCUCAAGCCCGGCUUGUGAUUGGGAUCAUCGGUGCCGAUAUCCCCGAAAGAUAAUGGCGGCGUCAGAGUUGACUCCCGGUGCAGCGAGCUUUUAGCAUACACCGGAGGGGCGUCUCUGGCCCGGCCUCGACCUCUAUCCAAGGUUGACCUCGAAUCAGGUAGGAAUACCCGCUGAACUUAA